ACAGCAUUCUACAGCCUGCAUUGAGGAUGCCAGCAGUGUGUGAGGCUGGUGACUGACCAGACCUUCUGGAUCCUCCUCAAGAAGCUCACAUAUACCUCAACCAAAAAUGUCAUCCAGCAAGUCUCUCCAGCCCACAGAUCACUGAAGUUUACCUUCAAGAAGAUACAGAACCAAGAACCCAAGGAUAAUGUCAAGAGCCCUAACAUCCUGGUUAUUGAGAUUUGCAAAGACUCCAGCCACAAGAAAGAAGACCUUCAGAACUGGGGAGACAUUGCUGGGAGAAGGGCUCAGCAUGGCUGUCCCAUUACCAUUUUACAAACCAGGGGCCUUGCACUGGAGCCAGUGUCUGUGGGCAUGAGAGCAGGAUGGAGUUCCAUUCCCUGCCCUAUCUUCCUGAGAGGGCAGCCCUGCAGCCCGUUCACAAGCUCUCACUGCUGAUAUUUUAGCACUGACCUCCCUGCCUGGCCACCCAUCUCUGGGAGCUGACCUCUGAGGAGAUGGAUCCUAGAGUGUGCGUGUUUCCAACUGGCCUAAGAUACUGGGAAGGCCAAGAACUUGGAAACCAGAGCAACCUGGGCUUAAAUUUUGCUCUGCCUCUGCCACCUGUGUGAUCCUGGAUAAAGUGAUGGUUUCCUCACCUGGAGAAUGAGAGUGAUGGUGCCUCUAGGGGCUGUUGAGUGAAUGACCUGAAAUAAUAUACAUUAGGGCCUUUAAUUGUGGCCACUAUUAAAGGGCUUCACAAAUGCUAAUUCCCUUUUAUGAUGUUACUGUGCCAGUAAAACCAAGGACACAGGAGCUGGCAACCCUAAUAUAAUCCUGUCUGUGCACUAGUAGCUUUCACAACCCCCAUCUCUCCCUCAGGCUGUAAGUCAGGCAGGGAUCUUGUUAAUUGAUUCAGCAGCCUUGACCUGCUAAGCUCUUCCUCCCACCUUGCCUUUGUCUUGGUUAUCAAGAAGGUUCUGCAAAGAUUGCCAUCAGCAAGGCCAUCUAGCCUUGUUCUUGAGCGGAUCACACCAGUAAUUUGCUGUGAUGGAUAGUGUGCCUCAAAUGGCCUGUGUAAUUGUGGUGAGCAGGCGGGGCACUGGAGCCACUGUGUUGAGGAAAUUCAGACUUGCAGGGAACACGGCGCUGCCUAAGCCACAGUCAUUCCAAAAUUAGACCUUUCCUCCACUCCAUCAUUACAGGGGUAAGCAGUCAGAACACUUCCUGAAUACGAACCACAUAUCAGAAGUGAUUUAUAGAAGCAUCCACAUGUGUGGAUGGGCGGUGAGGGAGGGAGCCUUGGGGUUGGUCCCAGACCUUACUGCCACUCUGCACAUCUCUGCACAGACUGGCCAGGGGCAGCCUCAGCUGCAGCUCCAGCAAAACGACUGGACAGGGAAGGACCAGUGUCUACUGGAAAAAGAAAUGUGAGGGUCUUUCCAUUCACAGACUUGCCAGGCCAUAAGGCUCUCUUGUCAUGCAUGUUAACAAUUCAGACACCCUGAGUUCUGCCCUAAAGGAAUUAGUUUAGUGAGUUAAGCUUGGGGCCUGGGUAUCUGUGCUGUAAGGGGCUCCCUCAGUCAAUGGCUCUCAAACUGCAUUGUAUGUUAGUCAUGGGAAAUUUGAAGUAUCCCAAUGACCAAGGCCCAGCCCAGACCAACAAAAUUAGAGUCUCUGGAUGUGGUCCCUAGGCAUCAGGGCUUUCUUUUUAAAGAGCUUCCAGUAUUGGCAAUGUGCUAUCAAGUUUGAGGCCAACACUCAGAUAAUUUAUGAAUCAGGUGAAUCUAGGAAAUAUAGUUUCAUGGACAAAAGCCCCAUUAGGAAAACCAAGUACCUCAUUUAUUUGUCGUCAGCAAACUGGAAUUCAGAGCCCCUGAUGGUUUCAGCAGACAAAAGUGUAUUCAGAACAUAUGUUCUGAAACCUGACUGAUCAUUAGAAUCACCUAGUUGUGUAUUUUUCUAACAUACAUUCUCCGACCUUAACUCAAAUUCACUGAACCAUUUGUGUGUAUGUGUGUGUGUGUGUGUGUGUGUGUGUGUGUGUGUGUGUGUGUGUGUAUUUAAAGGUCCUUGGUGAUUAGGACGCUCCUCAGGAUCUGAAAACCAGUGACUUCAGAGAAUUUAUAAAGAGGUGGAUCUUUUGAUUUAUAAUUAUGUAGGAGGCAUGAUGGCUUGAGCUCUGCUACAAGGAAAUUUAAGGGUAACUCAGCAUUUCUAGACAUCUUUUUAUUUUAAGCUUUUUUUUAAAAGAUAUUUGGCUAAUGAGUGGGCAUUAUAAAAUAAAUGUCAUACUCUAACUUUCCAAUCUGGUGUUCUAUUAACUCCUGAGCCCUCAAACAGAAGAUGUGGUAAGAUAACUCAGCCAUUCAGGUUGAUUUUUCCCUUCUUGGUGCCACUUAUAGCCAAAACAAGGAAGGGUUCAAAUUUCCUUUCCCCUCCCCAUCACCAUAACAGGGGAAAAUAAAGUAAAAUCACUGAAUCAGAAGUUCUAUGAAGUUCCAGGAACCAUCUCUUGGGUGUGGUCUCAGGCUUGCUGGGGUCCUGCAAGGGCUCCCCCUAGUGACAGUUUGUGAGAUAACUGCUGAUUAGAAAAAGAGCCUUGGGCCAGGAGGGGCCUCUGUGCAGCUUCCUGCUGUGGUCCUGGUGUGCUAGGCCCGAGUUCAUCUCAGUGCGGGCUUCUUUGAGCCAUGCAUUUCUCAGCGAGUCUCUUAAAUUUUAUUUUCAAUCCUGCCAAGGGCAGAUUAAAUGGCUACAUGAAUGGGAAAAUGCAGGAGGCUUUGAAACAGAUGGUUGGCUGUGCAGCCUCGGUGACUUGCCAGGCGCUGGGUUGUGUUGCCAUAUGAAUGAAAAUCCCACCGCGGCUGGGUUUUUAUUUCUCCAACCUAUGGAUGACAGCGGCUCCCGGGUUCCCCUGGCAGUGCGGCCUGGAGCAGUUACCUGCUAUUAUUCACCUCUCAUCAGGGCUCAGCUUCUUGCCUCUCUGGAUUUUCCUGGUUCCUUUCUCUGAAAGGGAGUGUCAUUCUAGACUAAUUUCCUGAUGGUGUAAAUGAUUUAGCAGGCCUGAUGAAUAUCAAUAGAGCUGCAGAUGGGUUUAAGGCUCCUAAUGAAUGUGACAGUCACCAGUGCCAAAUAUUUUUGCGACUUGCAUUUAGGAUGAAAACAAGCUUGAAUAGUAUCCACGAAGGUUACUUCUUUAAUUAUGCAUUAUAAAUUUUAAAGUCAGUAGUCAGGUGUCAGCAAAUUACGGCAUGGGUGAGAAGCUGUGUGCAUGGCCAUGUGCUGAAUGCAUAGGAGCCAGGGAGCCCUGGGUUCGAAUCCCAGCUCUGUCCCUAACAAGCUAGUGGUUUGAACAGGUUAUAUAAUUUCUCAAAGCUUGAUUUUAAAAGAUAGGUAAUCAUCCUUGCCCUUGGGCAUUUUAAAAAUAAUGAGCAUGGGGAAGUGUCCUGUUACCGGCAUCUGUAAGUCCACAAAUAAUGAUUAUGUGCCUACUAUGUGGAAAGGGCAGUGGUGGAUACUGGGGAUUCAGAGAAUUCUGGAAGCUCACAGGUGAAAGAGACAACUGGAUCAAUGGUAGGUCAAGCAAGGACCAGAGAGACCCCACUGGGCUCAGAUGGUGGUGGGGGGGACAUUGUCUCUAGAGAAUUUUUUUUUUUUAAAGGGCCAAACCCACAGCAUAUGGAGGUUCCCAGGCUAGGGGUCUAAUCAGAGCUACAGCUGCCGUUCUAUGCCACAGCCACAGCAACACCACAUCGGAGCCGCAUCUGCCACCUACACCACAGCUCACAACAACGCUGGAUCCUUAACCCACUGAGUGAGGCUAGGGAUCGAACCUGCAACCUCAUAGUUCCCAGUUGGAUUCACUUCUGCUGCGCCACAAAGGGAACUGCUGUCUGUAGAGAAUUUAAAAACCAUAAUAAAGCUGACUAAAAGGUGAUUUGCUUUUUAUCAUGAACAUGUGCCAACACCUCUAAACAAUGUCAGUGUCUUUCCCCCAAAAAAAUCUAAGUUCUAGAGAACUACUGUGGUUGCUAUUGAGUUUUAAUAAUAUAUAUGUAAGCUUCAUAGUAUUUCAGUUUUUAAAUUACUUAUCUUUUAAUUUUAUAUAUUUCAUAUUCUACAUGGAAGUUUAUUUGAAGAAUUCCCAGUUAUACAGUGGGUCUCCCCUCUACCCCCAACCCAUGUGGACUCAGUCACAGGAGUUUGUUCUGUGAAAUUGCUGGAGCACUUAGAUUUGGUGCAGGUUUUGCCUCCACCCCUGGUGGUACCAUCUUUUCCUACAUUUAAACUAUAGGUUCAAAAUAAACAACAGUGGCUGAGUGAUCAUAAAAACAAAAAAACAAAGAUCUUAAAUUACAUCUUGAAUUCUGUCAUUUCUGUGUAACAGCUUGGAGGUUUUAUAUUUCAAAUUUAAAAAUAAAACUGCGAUCUGGAGGUGU
rnacentral:lncRNA from 9 species